UACGUAGGGUGCAAGCGUUAAUCGGAAUUACUGGGCGUAAAGCGUGCGCAGGCGGUUUUGUAAGUUUGUCGUGAAAGCCCCGGGCUCAACCUGGGAAUUGCGAUGAAGACUGCAAGGCUUGAAUCUGGCAGAGGGGGGUAGAAUUCCACGUGUAGCAGUGAAAUGCGUAGAGAUGUGGAGGAACACCGAUGGCGAAGGCAGCCCCCUGGGAUAACACUGACGCUCAUGCACGAAAGCGUGGGGAGCAAACAGG
rnacentral:rRNA from 1 species